CAGGACCACAAACAAGGCUAGGACCAUAACAGGGGGUAAAGAACUGAAGCUCCUCUAUAGUUGCUGCCCCAAACAAUGAAGAAUCUUGUGCCACCUCACUGGGUACAAUCUUCUGUGGACUCCAAGUUGUUUUGCAUCCGAGAAAAGAGGCUGGGGUCCACAAAAACGUAUGGCCCAGAAAACCUGAUUAUAUUUACGUCUUCAAAAGGUUCUUUUUUCCAACAUAGCUGACUUGUCUUGAAACCUAUACCUCCACACCAUCCCUGUCUCAAUCUGGAUUGGAUUUCCUUUGCUUACUUUUGAGUGAAAAAGAAAUAAUACAUAGUAGCUAGCAAGGUGUAGUUUAACAGACUGAUCUGGUAUAAGGUAGCUUCCUGUGUGCCUUCUCCAACUUGGUUGUCUUGCUUCAGCCUUCAAAAUGCAGUAGGACAUGAUUACCACAGCUGCAACCUUGCAAGUAGGUUUGAGAGGUUGCAGCUAUGGCAAUUACGUCCUACUUGUAGACUUCCCAGAGGCACUGGUUGAUCACUGUGUUAACACAACACUAUAUAGAUCUUGGGUCUGAUUGAGGAAGACACUUCUGCUGACUUAGCAGAAAACUGGUAGGAGCAAGUGAAUGAAAUAUACCAAUUUCUUCAGCAAUAGGGAAAAGGGUUCCUAGUCCUGCUGAGCUGAGCUGAUAAUUAUUUUGCAUCUGACCUAAAUGUGUGUGUGGAUGGUAUUUGGGCUGCAGUUCUUCAUUUUGAUUUAGGUCAAGGGGUGAGAAACAUUUGGCCCUCCAGGCAUUGUUGGCCUGAAUUGCAAUCAACCCUCACCUUUGGCAUUUGGGAGUAGCAAUUAAACAAUACCUGGAAAACCACACACCUUUCCCCUCCCCUAUUCCACUUGCUAUCUUCCCAAAAACCAGCUACAUGCCAAUGCCCCCAGAAACCAGCCACCUUGAGGCACCAGCCACCCUCAGGAGGACUGCCCACCUGAUGCUCUUCUCUUUCCUGGUUCCAGGCAGAUAUAAGAUCCAGAGAAUACAUCCGGAAACACUUGGAGGCCGCCUCCGCUGUGUUACCUCAGCCCGAGAGGAUGAGUGAAGGCACAGACUCUGAAUAGUGAUGAGGCAUCAAAGAUGUUUUCAAGAUGUCAUAAUCCAGACAAGGUACCACUCAGCCUUCUAGGUGGAGAGCUUCCAACCACUACUGACUUCCUGGUGCAACAGGAUUGCAGCCAGGGGGCAUGAGGAGGCUUUAUCAACCGUCCCCAACCAACUUCCAAAGGCACUUCUUCCCAUUUUGUGGCAGGAAGUUGGAUUCUUGCCUCUGCAUGUGGACUAAUGAUCCAACAGGAUGAGAUGUUAAUUAUAGGACAACAACAACAUGUGCAAAAUAAAUAGCAGUGGGGAGCCCUCAGAGGCCUGUGGGGUGGCUUUUCCCCCACCCAGUUCCUUCCAAAUGAGAAGGGCUCCAUCUCUUAUACACCCAGAAGCAUGGCUAAUCGGUAGCCUUUCUGGGGAUCAUGGGGAUUAUAGUCCAAAACAUCUGGAUGGUUUGUUGGAAGGCUGCUAUGAUAGUUGAGAAAGGUGAGCAUAACUCUUUCUUGCCCUAUCAUAUUUCCAUCCCCUCUCUGACACUUCUUUUUGCUUUAAAAGCAACACACACAAGCAGAGGAAGUUUAUUUAGGUUUAGUUGAAAUGCAGACAGCAGCAACACUGGAGAAGUAAUUUUCUUGGGACUUCAUAAGAGGAAGACAGCCUGUGUGUUUAAUCUGUGCUAGUCAAAGUGGUGUCAGACUAUCUGCUGCUGGCCCCUGGAGAGUAUCUAGGAAAGAAAUAACUACAGUAGUUGUAGCCAGUGGACACAAGUAUGGUGCUGGUCUCUUGCACAUGCAGGUGUGUAUAAAUUGCCAGUCCCUCACAUCAGAUAGCCUGUUAAAUUGCCCUUCCCAACCCCCAUUCCAAGGCUGUUGACCUUUCUAUUAUAGCUGCUGUUUGCCCAAUAAAUGUCAUGUCUUGUUUGGUCUGCAAUCCCAUCUCCAUGGAGAAUAUGCCUAUUGUGUUUGGCAUGAAUGUCUACAUGUAUGUGCCAAACAGUCAGUGACACCAUCUUAAUUUCUGAAGAAGCCACAAAUCCAGCUGAAAUUAGUGGAAAUGGAAUAGUAGAGCAAAGGGGGAGUCAAUAUGCUCAGGCUAUAGAAACAUCUGCUCCUGGUUCUUUUUCACCAACAGGGUCAUCUUUAGUUGUGGUGACAUCCCUACUCAUGGUGUCACUUGGUGCAGAGGGGUCUGCAGAGGGGCAUGGCAAUGACCAAAAGGGCACAGUCCACCCUUUCCUUUACCACCAUAGCAGAAGCUUCUUUAUGAAGAGGCCUCUGCCACUGCAGUGAAGCUGGGAGGGACAUGCUUGAUCUUUCUUACCCCAUAGCAGGAGGAAGGCCCAACCAGGUGUCACCCAGGGCAGGCUGCAGUCCCUGCACCACAUUAAUUCCACCACUGUCAAGGUGCAGAAGUCUUUGCUUCUGAUUUUGAUGUUUUAAUGGUAUGUUAGAUGUUUGAUUUAUGUGAAACACUAUAAAGAAACAUUCCACUGAUCAUCCUAUAAAUGAUUGCCAGAGUGCCUAUGUGUACCAUUUCCUAAUAUUAAAUUAGCAUGUAUGCCUAGUA